rnacentral:rRNA from 1 species
UACAGAGGGGGCAAGCGUUGUUCGGAAUUACUGGGCGUAAAGGGCGCGUAGGCGGCCUGUUAAGUCGAACGUGAAAUCCCCGGGCUCAACCCGGGAACUGCGUCCGAUACUGGCAGGCUUGAAUCCGGGAGAGGGAUGCGGAAUUCCAGGUGUAGCGGUGAAAUGCGUAGAUAUCUGGAGGAACAUCAGUGGCGAAGGCGGCGACCUGGACAAGCACUGACACUCAACUACGAAAGCGUGGGGAGCAAACAGG